rnacentral:rRNA from 1 species
AGCGUACACGGUGGAUGCCCUGGCAGUCAGAGGCGAUGAAGGACGUGCUAAUCUGCGAUAAGCGUCGGUAAGGUGAUAUGAACCGUUAUAACCGGCGAUUUCCGAAUGGGGAAACCCAGUGUGAUUCGUCACACUAUCAUUAACUGAAUCCAUAGGUUAAUGAGGCGAACCGGGGGAACUGAAACAUCUAAGUACCCCGAGGAAAAGAAAUCAACCGAGAUUCCCCCAGUAGCGGCGAGCGAACGGGGAGCAGCCCAGAGCCUGAAUCAGUGUGUGUGUUAGUGGAAGCGUCUGGAAAGGCGCGCGAUACAGGGUGACAGCCCCGUACACAAAAAUGCACAUACUGUGAGCUCGAUGAGUAGGGCGGGACACGUGGUAUCCUGUCUGAAUAUGGGGGGACCAUCCUCCAAGGCUAAAUACUCCUGACUGACCGAUAGUGAACCAGUACCGUGAGGGAAAGGCGAAAAGAACCCCGGCGAGGGGAGUGAAAAAGAACCUGAAACCGUGUACGUACAAGCAGUGGGAGCACAGAGCAAUCUGUGUGACUGCGUACCUUUUGUAUAAUGGGUCAGCGACUUAUAUUCUGUAGCAAGGUUAACCGAAUAGGGGAGCCGAAGGGAAACCGAGUCUUAACUGGGCGUUAAGUUGCAGGGUAUAGACCCGAAACCCGGUGAUCUAGCCAUGGGCAGGUUGAAGGUUGGGUAACACUAACUGGAGGACCGAACCGACUAAUGUUGAAAAAUUAGCGGAUGACUUGUGGCUGGGGGUGAAAGGCCAAUCAAACCGGGAGAUAGCUGGUUCUCCCCGAAAGCUAUUUAGGUAGCGCCUCGUGAAUUCAUCUCCGGGGGUAGAGCACUGUUUCGGCAAGGGGGUCAUCCCGACUUACCAACCCGAUGCAAACUGCGAAUACCGGAGAAUGUUAUCACGGGAGACACACGGCGGGUGCUAACGUCCGUCGUGAAGAGGGAAACAACCCAGACCGCCAGCUAAGGUCCCAAAGUCAUGGUUAAGUGGGAAACGAUGUGGGAAGGCCCAGACAGCCAGGAUGUUGGCUUAGAAGCAGCCAUCAUUUAAAGAAAGCGUAAUAGCUCACUGGUCGAGUCGGCCUGCGCGGAAGAUGUAACGGGGCUAAACCAUGCACCGAAGCUGCGGCAGCGACGCUUAUGCGUUGUUGGGUAGGGGAGCGUUCUGUAAGCCUGCGAAGGUGUGCUGUGAGGCAUGCUGGAGGUAUCAGAAGUGCGAAUGCUGACAUAAGUAACGAUAAAGCGGGUGAAAAGCCCGCUCGCCGGAAGACCAAGGGUUCCUGUCCAACGUUAAUCGGGGCAGGGUGAGUCGACCCCUAAGGCGAGGCCGAAAGGCGUAGUCGAUGGGAAACAGGUUAAUAUUCCUGUACUUGGUGUUACUGCGAAGGGGGGACGGAGAAGGCUAUGUUGGCCGGGCGACGGUUGUCCCGGUUUAAGCGUGUAGGCUGGUUUUCCAGGCAAAUCCGGAAAAUCAAGGCUGAGGCGUGAUGACGAGGCACUACGGUGCUGAAGCAACAAAUGCCCUGCUUCCAGGAAAAGCCUCUAAGCAUCAGGUAACAUCAAAUCGUACCCCAAACCGACACAGGUGGUCAGGUAGAGAAUACCAAGGCGCUUGAGAGAACUCGGGUGAAGGAACUAGGCAAAAUGGUGCCGUAACUUCGGGAGAAGGCACGCUGAUAUGUAGGUGAAGUCCCUCGCGGAUGGAGCUGAAAUCAGUCGAAGAUACCAGCUGGCUGCAACUGUUUAUUAAAAACACAGCACUGUGCAAACACGAAAGUGGACGUAUACGGUGUGACGCCUGCCCGGUGCCGGAAGGUUAAUUGAUGGGGUUAGCGCAAGCGAAGCUCUUGAUCGAAGCCCCGGUAAACGGCGGCCGUAACUAUAACGGUCCUAAGGUAGCGAAAUUCCUUGUCGGGUAAGUUCCGACCUGCACGAAUGGCGUAAUGAUGGCCAGGCUGUCUCCACCCGAGACUCAGUGAAAUUGAACUCGCUGUGAAGAUGCAGUGUACCCGCGGCAAGACGGAAAGACCCCGUGAACCUUUACUAUAGCUUGACACUGAACAUUGAGCCUUGAUGUGUAGGAUAGGUGGGAGGCUUUGAAGUGUGGACGCCAGUCUGCAUGGAGCCGACCUUGAAAUACCACCCUUUAAUGUUUGAUGUUCUAACGUGGACCCGUAAUCCGGGUUGCGGACAGUGUCUGGUGGGUAGUUUGACUGGGGCGGUCUCCUCCUAAAGAGUAACGGAGGAGCACGAAGGUUGGCUAAUCCUGGUCGGACAUCAGGAGGUUAGUGCAAUGGCAUAAGCCAGCUUGACUGCGAGCGUGACGGCGCGAGCAGGUGCGAAAGCAGGUCAUAGUGAUCCGGUGGUUCUGAAUGGAAGGGCCAUCGCUCAACGGAUAAAAGGUACUCCGGGGAUAACAGGCUGAUACCGCCCAAGAGUUCAUAUCGACGGCGGUGUUUGGCACCUCGAUGUCGGCUCAUCACAUCCUGGGGCUGAAGUAGGUCCCAAGGGUAUGGCUGUUCGCCAUUUAAAGUGGUACGCGAGCUGGGUUUAGAACGUCGUGAGACAGUUCGGUCCCUAUCUGCCGUGGGCGCUGGAGAACUGAGGGGGGCUGCUCCUAGUACGAGAGGACCGGAGUGGACGCAUCACUGGUGUUCGGGUUGUCAUGCCAAUGGCACUGCCCGGUAGCUAAAUGCGGAAGAGAUAAGUGCU